UACGUAGGGGGCAAGCGUUGUCCGGAAUCAUUGGGCGUAAAGAGCGUGUAGGCGGCCCGAUAAGUCCGCUGUGAAAGUCCAGGGCUCAACCCUGGAAUGCCGGUGGAUACUGUCGGGCUCGAAUCCGGAAGAGGUGAGUGGAAUUCCUGGUGUAGCGGUGAAAUGCGCAGAUAUCAGGAGGAACACCAAUGGCGAAGGCAGCUCACUGGGACGGUAUUGACGCUGAGGCACGAAAGCGUGGGGAUCAAACAGG
rnacentral:rRNA from 1 species